rnacentral:rRNA from 1 species
GUCGAGCGAGUCUGCCUUGAAGAUCGGAGUGCUUGCACUCUGUGAAACAAGAUACAGGCUAGCGGCGGACGGGUGAGUAACACGUGGGUAACCUGCCCAAGAGAUCGGGAUAACACCUGGAAACAGAUGCUAAUACCGGAUAACAACAGAUGAUGCCUAUCAACUGUUUAAAAGAUGGUUCUGCUAUCACUCUUGGAUGGACCUGCGGUGCAUUAGCUAGUUGGUAGGGUAACGGCCUACCAAGGCGAUGAUGCAUAGCCGAGUUGAGAGACUGAUCGGCCACAUUGGGACUGAGACACGGCCCAAACUCCUACGGGAGGCAGCAGUAGGGAAUCUUCCACAAUGGACGCAAGUCUGAUGGAGCAACGCCGCGUGAGUGAAGAAGGGUUUCGGCUCGUAAAGCUCUGUUGUUGGUGAAGAAGGACGGGGGUAGUAACUGACCCUUGUUUGACGGUAAUCAAUUAGAAAGUCACGGCUAACUACGUGCCAGCAGCCGCGGUAAUACGUAGGUGGCAAGCGUUGUCCGGAUUUAUUGGGCGUAAAGCGAGUGCAGGCGGUUCGAUAAGUCUGAUGUGAAAGCCUUCGGCUCAACCGGAGAAUUGCAUCAGAAACUGUCGAGCUUGAGUACAGAAGAGGAGAGUGGAACUCCAUGUGUAGCGGUGAAAUGCGUAGAUAUAUGGAAGAACACCGGUGGCGAAGGCGGCUCUCUGGUCUGUUACUGACGCUGAGGCUCGAAAGCAUGGGUANNNA